rnacentral:rRNA from 1 species
CCCUAGUAACGGCGAGUGAAGCGGCAACAGCUCAAAUUUGAAAUCUGGCUCUUUCAGGGUCCGAGUUGUAAUUUGUAGAGGGUGCUUUGGAGUUGACUGUGGUCUAAGUUCCUUGGAACAGGACGUCGCAGAGGGUGAGAAUCCCGUAUGUGGCCGCCAGUCUUCGCCGUGUAAAGCCCCUUCGACGAGUCGAGUUGUUUGGGAAUGCAGCUCUAAAUGGGAGGUAAAUUUCUUCUAAAGCUAAAUAUUGGCCAGAGACCGAUAGCGCACAAGUAGAGUGAUCGAAAGAUGAAAAGCACUUUGGAAAGAGAGUCAAAAAGCACGUGAAAUUGUUGAAAGGGAAGCGCUUGCAGCCAGACUUGCCUGUAGUUGCUCAUCCGGGCUUUUGCCCGGUGCACUCUUCUAUAGGCAGGCCAGCAUCAGUCCUGGCGGUCGGAUAAAUGCCUGCUGAAUGUACCUCUCCUCGGGGAGGACUUAUAGCGGUGGGCGGCAUACGACCAGCCGGGGAUUGAGGUCCGCGCAUCUGCUAGGAUGCUGGCGUAAUGGCUGUAAGCGGCCCGUCUUGAAACACGGACCAAGGAGUCUAACAUCUAUGCGAGUGUUUGGGUGUCAAGCCCGAGCGCGUAAUGAAAGUGAACGGAGGUGGGAACCCCUCGGGGCGCACCAUCGACCGAUCCUGAUG